AGCACGUUAUGGUGGGCGACUCUAAGGAGGACUGCCGGUGGACAAACCGGAGGAAAGGUGGGGAGUGACGUCAAGUCAUCAUGGCCCUUACGGCCUGGGCUACACACGUGCUACAAUGGUCGGUACAAAGGGUUGCCAAGCCGCGAGGUGGAGCUAAUCCCAUAAAACCGAAUCGUAGUCCGGAUCGCAGUCUGCAACUCGACUGCGUGAAGUCGGAAUCGCUAGUAAUCGUGAAUCAGAAUGUCACGGUGAAUACGUUCCCGGGCCUU
rnacentral:rRNA from 1 species